rnacentral:RNase_P_RNA from 1 species
AGGUGCGGCAAGGCGGCCGCGCGCCGGCCCCCGGGUCGGCGUGAGGAAAGUCCGAGCACGGCAGGACACGGUGGUGGGUCAUUCCCACCCGCCCGAACAGGCCCGGCAGGGUGUGGUCGCGGGCGAGGGAAAGUGCCACAGAAAACACACCGCCGAUGGCCCGCAAGGGCACAGGUAAGGGUGAAAAGGUGCGGUAAGAGCGCACCGCCCGGUUGGUGACAACCGGGGCACGGUAAACCCCACCGCGUGCAAGCCCAAGCAGAGCCCCGGGGCUUCGGCCCCGUCCCUGGUCCGGGGAUCGCGGGUUCGGGUAGGGUGCAGGGGAGCGUGCUCCCCCACUCACGCCGGAAACGGCGCGGGUGAGAGAAAUGGUCGCCCACGGUCGAAGGUCUCGCCCAGAGCCCCCGUCAAGGCGGGCGGGAAACCACGAUCGGGACAGAACUCGGCUUACCAGCCGCGCCCGACC